CUUUUUAAGUCAUGUAUUUGAAUUUUAUAAGGAGAAAAACGGAAGUUCUACUGGAGAGAUUAGAGAAGACCUGAGUCUCACAUACAACCAGGUUGUAACUCUUUUCUUCACCUCCCCUCUCUCAGUCAUCCAGAGAUCAAGGUGUGUUCACCCCUCCAACUUCACAGUGCUGAUCCUGUAUUAUGAUGUAAGUAGAGGCGAGGCUGUGAUUUCUGAGCCCCAAUCCCUUUAGUAUAGAGAUCACAACCUGAAAUGCCUGUGAAGGUAAAGUAAAUGAGAGAACUGGGCCAGAUGGGGAGCAUGGUGACUUGGAGAUUUAUGCCCUGCCUAAAGAGAGCAUCCAAUAAAGCAAGUCUUCCAACAGACUGAGAGGUGGGAGACUGGGGCUUGGUCCUGUUGGCCUCCAGCAGCUGUGUGACCUGAAUGAGCCAUUGACCCGGUACAAGCUGCAACAUCCUCAGCCACAUUAAUAAACAUGUGAGGCCACUAAA
rnacentral:lncRNA from 1 species